rfam:Rattus norvegicus chromosome 9, whole genome shotgun sequence.
GGAGAUGUAGCUCAGUGGUUAAGAGCACGGACUGCUCUUCCAGAGGUCCUGAGUUCAAAUCCCAGCAACCACA